CGUAACACAGCACUGUGCCAGAGAACUGAAGUCAUUGAAGUCCAUACCUCAUGGAGGCUGUCUCCAGCGGUCCACACCGAGCCUCAGGAUUCCUGUGAGUCCAGAGAUCAUCUUUAAAAAGAAGACUAUCUUCCCUGUUGACGUUCCAAUGGGGUGUAUAUUCCAAACCUUCCCCGGCGAACACGUUAGAGGUCUUCAUCCUCUUCUGUUUCUGUCUCGUCAUCGGUGCAGCGAUAGGAGGUCUUCUACACGUCUGGAUGGUCUACAGUCUGAACUACCAGCCCUUUACCUCGAUGGUGGUGUCCAGUACCUGGGGCUGUAUAGUAGUC